AAUUAAGUAAAAGAGACUUUACUUAAUUAUAUAUAUGCAAUAUAUCAUUUUUGAAAAGAUGGAUAUUCGAUGGUAUAUGAUAUAUAUUUUUCGUAUAUAUCGAUAUUGAGUUAUACUGAAUACUCGACAUAAGAUUGUGGUUUAUAUUUUCUUUUGAUGCUAUUCAUAUAUUAUUUUCAAUCAUAUUAUCAUAUUGGUGUGAGUGUGAGGG
rnacentral:lncRNA from 1 species